rnacentral:rRNA from 1 species
AUUGAACGCUGGCGGCAUGCCUUACACAUGCAAGUCGAACGGUAACGGGCCUUCGGGUGCCGACGAGUGGCGAACGGGUGAGUAAUACAUCGGAACGUGCCCGAUCGUGGGGGAUAACGAGGCGAAAGCUUUGCUAAUACCGCAUACGAUCUACGGAUGAAAGCAGGGGACCGCAAGGCCUUGCGCGGACGGAGCGGCCGAUGGCAGAUUAGGUAGUUGGUGGGAUAAAAGCUUACCAAGCCGACGACCGGUAGCUGGUCUGAGAGGAUGAUCAGCCACACUGGGACUGAGACACGGCCCAGACUCCUACGGGAGGCAGCAGUGGGGAAUUUUGGACAAUGGGCGCAAGCCUGAUCCAGCCAUGCCGCGUGCAGGAUGAAGGCCUUCGGGUUGUAAACUGCUUUUGUACGGAACGAAAAGCCUUCUUUUAAUACAGGAGGGUCAUGACGGUACCGUAAGAAUAAGCACCGGCUAACUACGUG